UUUACAAGGCUUUUUGAAUGUGUGCCUUUAAGAGAUCUAUUUAAGUAAAAUGUUCUUAAAAGACUAACAAGUGGAUUAGGCUGCUAACGCGAUCUUGACUGAGGCCAUUUUGAAUUUUCCGUUCAACGGGUGAGAAGGACUGCAUUUUUCUCCAUGGCUAUCAACCCAAAGGGUGCUGAAAAGAAAUUUGACAUCAGCAUUGAGGUCAUUUAUGACUCAACCACAUCUCUGUCAUGAAUCUACUCCAUCAGAGGCCAGCGCCACCAAAAAAGGGAGUCUGACGUCAAAAUUGAGCUCUAAUUAUGACUGGAGCACUACUGAAGCAUUAUCACACGAGGAGCAAGAGACAAGACUAAACUCUUUUCUGUCAGAGACCAACUGAAAAAGAAUCUGGAUGAUGAAGAUGCCUUGGAAAUCCAAGAAGAUCCAGUCAAUUCCCAUCAACAAUCCCACAUGUCAGGAAUGAAUAUACUUGUCAUUUACUUGUUUGUCACUCCAAACCCAUAAGACUUUUAUUAAUCUUUGAAACACAAAUGAAAUCUGAGAGAUUUCUCUCCCUCCUUUGACAGUCCAUGCAACUACCACUUCAAUGCUUUAAAAAGUUCAUAAUCGAGAAGUUUUUAAUUAAAUUUUUUCCGCAGAGCCAUGAUUGCUUCGUAUGAUAAACAGUUUGAAUUUAGCAUUUUAUUCACAUAUAAAUGCUGAUCAGUAAACAUAAAAAACUUGCUUGACACAUAAGAAUAAACCUCACUGGUUCUUGCAGAAGCUUAAACAUGCUGCAUAACACAAGAAUGAACCUCAUUAGUUCUCACACAUCGAGCAAGAACUUUUGAGUUUCUGUUUACCAUUACUGAUCUGCUCUGACGAUUGUGUAUAUAUGAAUUAGAAGCUAAGUUAGAUCUGAUCAUUAUAUAAAGUGAUCAAGUCUCUUUAGAAAAUUUUGACUAA